AUUGAACGCUGGCGGCAGGCCUAACACAUGCAAGUCGAGCGAGCGGCGGACGGGUGAGUAAUGUAUGGGGAUCUGCCCGAUGGAGGGGGAUAACUACUGGAAACGGUGGCUAAUACCGCAUACUAUCGGAUGUACCCAUAUGGGAUUAGCUAGUAGGUGGGGUAAAGGCGCACCUAGGCGACGAUCCCUAGCUGGUGUGAGAGGAUGAUCAGCCACACUGGGACUGAGACACGGCCCAGACUCCUACGGGAGGCAGCAGUGGGGAAUAUUGCACAAUGGGCGCAAGCCUGAUGCAGCCAUGCCGCGUGUAUGAAGAAGGCCUGCGGGUUGUAAAGUACUUUCAGCGGGGAGGCGUUACCCGCAGAAGAAGCACCGGCUAACUCCGUGCCAGCAGCCGCGGUAAUAC
rnacentral:rRNA from 1 species